ACAGUACGAAAGAGAAGCAGCACAGCCAGGCCACAUCCCACACUGCCAAGAGAUGCAGAUGCUGGUGAUGCAGGUUCUUGUUCAGCAAACCCCCCUCCACUAAGGCGCCCAUCACAGGGCUCGGAUCCUCAACAUAGGAGGCCAACCAAGAGACGCCGUCUUGAGGCUGAAUCACCAGCAGCAUCCUCAGCACCCCAACGGCGCAUCUCCAUAGUGUCGGCCCUGCCACCACAAGCCAUUUUGGCAAGCCCAGAAAGCGAGGAUCCUCAAUCCCCUCAGCUGUCUGAACCACACAUCAUGGCCGACGAUGCCCAGCAGGAAAGUGACCAGCAGGAUACCUACACACUACACCUGCAAGCCAUAGAUCCUACCCAGACAACCACGCCGCAGGACAUACUCCAACCACCCCAAACAUCCCACAGCCCCCAAUUGAGCCCAACACCACCCUAGCAACAAAUGGCCCCCGAGUUUUGUAGCAGUUGGGCCACACAACAGGCGCAACACUAUGCGUGACUGAACACCCACACCCAAUACCUUGCCAGUCUGCCCCAUCAUCUGCCGCGACUCAGUCGGAACUCAGACAGACUGAUAGUUCAGGUUGGCAGAAUUGCCAAUUCAAUGGAGCAGAUGAGGGCAGACAACACCCAAAUGCAAGCCAAUCUGCAACGCAUCAUGGAUGAACAACAGCGGCAACAACAAACCCUAAUUCAACUGAUUCAACACAACCAAAUGAUUAACGAAAACCUGUCCAGAAUUAUAGCAAACAACACUGCCGCUAAUACCCAAAUGACUGCAAGCCUAAAUAACCUCAGCCAAAGCCUUAAUGUGUUGGCAUCACACCAAGUAAGCUCUAGCUCGGGAACAACUACACAAAGCCAAACCCCAGUUAACUCGCCAGUUAGACGCUCAAGCCGAACCCGGCCCAACGAACCAGGGCAAGCCUCUGCACACAGCACACACACACACAAAAAAAUAAUAAUGACGCCUGCAGAAAAUAGUUUGUUCCAAAUAAUGUUUUUUGAUUUGUUACACCAAAAAUGCCUGUGUUAAAGGUAAUAAAUUA